GUCCUUUGGGCCCAACCUCCCAUCCGUGUCUAUUGUACCCUGUUGCUUCGGCGGGCCCGCCGCUUGUCGGCCGCCGGGGGGGCGCCUCUGCCCCCCGGGCCCGUGCCCGCCGGAGACCCCAACACGAACACUGUCUGAAAGCGUGCAGUCUGAGUUGAUUGAAUGCAAUCAGUUAAAACUUUCAACAAUGGAUCUCUUGGUUCCGGCAUCGAUGAAGAACGCAGCGAAAUGCGAUAACUAAUGUGAAUUGCAGAAUUCAGUGAAUCAUCGAGUCUUUGAACGCACAUUGCGCCCCCUGGUAUUCCGGGGGGCAUGCCUGUCCGAGCGUCAUUGCUGCCCUCAAGCCCGGCUUGUGUGUUGGGUCGCCGUCCCCCUCUCCGGGGGGACGGGCCCGAAAGGCAGCGGCGGCACCGCGUCCGAUCCUCGAGCGUAUGGGGCUUUGUCACAUGCUCUGUAGGAUUGGCCGGCGCCUGCCGACGUUUUCCAACCAUUCUUUCCAGGUUGACCUCGGAUCAGGUAGGGAUACCCGCUGAACUUAAGCAUAUCA
rnacentral:rRNA from 1 species